UGUCCUUUUAAAUUAUUCUUUAAGAAUAAACAUUCAAAUAAUGGUCAGCGGUCUGUAGUCACUCCAUUAUUUUCUAUGAUUUCUAUCAAUAUCUAUCAACUUAUCGAUGAUCUAUGACUAUGUCUCUUAUCUAUCUAUGCUCUUAUCUAUGAAAUCUGUCAAAUUGUAAAGUCUGGUGUUUCCGCGUUUGUCUUUUGGUUUGCUAUUCUGAUGGUUUUAAUAAAUUUAGCCGUCUAAUUAAAUUUAUUAUAGUAUAUGUGUGAAUAUUAUGAUAAUUGUAGCCCUCAUAGUUUUAAAUCUUAUUGUAUGCAAUAACUGACUAAAACUUUAUUAAUAGUCACACAAAUUAAUUAGUUUGAUCCGUUAAGAAAACCACAAAAUGUAUGUUCUCAUGCAGGAUACACAAUAUGUUGUUCUAUUUUUCAACUGGAAUGAUUUUUUAUUUAAUGAAGAAACAUUGUGCAAAUUGUGGACACCACAUGUCG